rnacentral:snRNA from 1 species
GGCUUUGCGCAGUGGCAGUAUCGUAGCCAAUGAGGUUUAUCCGAGGCAUGAUUAUUGCUAAUUGAAAACUUUUCCCAAUACCCCACCAUGACAACUUGAAAUAUAGUCGGCAUUGGCAAUUUUUGACAGUCUCUACGGAGA